rnacentral:rRNA from 1 species
UACGAAGGGGGCUAGCGUUGUUCGGAUUCAUUGGGCGUAAAGGGUGCGUAGGUGGCGCCGUAAGUCGGGUGUGAAAUUUCGGAGCUUAACUCCGAAACUGCAUUCGAUACUGCCGUGCUUGAGGACUGGAGAGGAGACUGGAAUUUACGGUGUAGCGGUGAAAUGCGUAGAUAUCGUAAGGAAGACCAGUGGCGAAGGCGGGUCUCUGGACAGUUCCUGACGCUGAGGCACGAAGGUCAGGGGAGCAAACGGG